AAAUAUUUUAAAAAAUGCUUGAAAAAUGACUAUCGGAACUCUUUUGCAAAAUCUUCCGGUACACAAAAAUUGACUAUCGGAACUCUUUUGCAAAGUCUUCCGGUAUAAAAAAUAAUAUUGAAAAAAUGCUUAAAAAUUGACAACCGAAACUCUUUUGUAAAGUCUUCCGGUACACAUUUUUUUUUAAAAUAAAAAAAAAUAAAAAAUGAAAAAUUAAUUUAAAAUAUAUAAGGAUAAAA
rnacentral:lncRNA from 1 species